AGAGAAAAAGAAGAGGUGAAGGCUUCGGACUUCAUAUAUUCAUAUCAACCGAAUACAGAAACACCCUCCUACCUUCAUGAUCACAGUGAGACAGAACCGAAUGCCUGGAAAGUUAUUUCUGCUCCUUCCUUGUCAUCCUCCUUUAAAAUUUCUCAGAGAGGACUUCUCAAGAUUUUUAUGAAGAAAUGAGAGAAAGCCGUGGUAGUUAACCAGAACUAUCAGAAUCACCUGUAGAGCUUAAAAAAAAUUUUUUUUCCCCAGAUCCUCAGAGACCAGGCAGGGGCCCAGGCGUAUAUAUUUUUAACAGGUUCCACAAGUGAUUCAGUUGAAGACUACUGUGUCAGGGUUGGUCACAAUGUUUGGUACAGUGCUUGGCACACUGGACUCGACGAAUUGAGAAAAGGGAAUGCCGAGACAAGAACUAAUUUUAAUCUUUGGUAAAAUGUCAUCGGCCCAAUUAUAAAACCUCAUUAUUGUUCCUGUCUGGCCGAACUAUGAAGCAUGAAGAAAUACGAUCUUAUCAGUCUGGGGGCUGCAUCAUCAUGCAUUUGUAAAGAACUAUUAAUGAGCAUUUUGUAUAUGCCCAGAUUGAGAUGGAAAAAUAUCUUAAUCCUUUCAGUCACAAACUUGGCCUCCAAAGGCACAUAUCAAACUCAUGAAAGCAACUUUUACAGAAUGAAGAAAUCAAUUAUGCCACAAGGACGCCAGGAACAAAUCCUUUUAUUUUGCUAAAGAUUGUGCAACCCCGCGAACUACUGGGGAAUUCAUUCCUAGAUGACUUUUGAGUCACAUUUGGUUACUGAGUGCAAAGCAACAAAGCCCUUUUUACUUGCUUACGGCUGGAAUUCAGUAAACCAACCUCACCAGCAAGAAUUGAGAUCAUCUGAUGGAAUAUGCCAGCAUACAAACUAGCAGGGAAGAGAUUUAUUCUCAGCUUCAGUUUCAGAAGCUAGGUGGACCUUCUCCAGGCUCUAGGGGAAGAAACCGGGAAGGCUGUUGAAACUGAAAAGGGCCCCUGCACUGGUUCAUGGAACCUAUGAUGCUCUGCUGUCUCCCGGCCUCGGGUCUUCUCAUCGCCCGCCCACCGCCCCAUUUCGGACCCGGACGCCUCUUGAGAUUCACAGCGACACACUCACUGUUUCUGAAGUAAAUGCUGGUGCUGCUGCUGCUGCUGCUGCCUAUAAUAAGAUGACACAGAGGAAAAGCUCAUUCAGAGAUGGUAAAAAUGAAGCAAUUGGGCAGACUCAAGGGAGACUCACUGUUGCAAGAUGAUGCUGUUGCUACUGGUCUGGGAGUCACAGUUUGAGGACCGCUGGACUAAGAAAUCCUCACCAUGACGAUUUGCUUUUGCAAAGCUGUCGUGCGCACCUGGAGUCCUCCAUUAGUGGGACAACCGUUCACACUGGCUGUGGGACCUCAAGUCAUACUUGCCCCUGAAGCCCUGAGGUAUCACAGGAAGAAGCCAGUUGUUUCUAUAUCUGAAAAGAGAAUCUCCUAUAUCUAAGAACUUCUUUGGUGAUGCAAGUCCAUUGCAUUGAAUUUCCAGUAGUUCUUUGGGUGGACAUUAUACAUUCCAACCUUUAUGUUUGAAGAUAUAACGUAUCUCUCCCUAUAGUGCUGUCACUAUUAGAAGCAGUUAUGAAGGAUUAAAAACUUAAAUAAAC